rnacentral:misc_RNA from 1 species
GAUGAAGAACGCAGCGAAAUGCGAUAAGUAGUGUGAAUUGCAGAAUUCAGUGAAUCAUCGAAUCUUUGAACGCACAUUGCGCCCUUUUGUAUUCCAAAGGGCAUGCCUGUUCGAGCGUCAUUUGUACCCUCAAGCUUUGCUUGGUGUUGGGCGUCUUGUCUCUAGCUUUGCUGGAGACUCGCCUUAAAGUAAUUGGCAGCCGGCCUACUGGUUUCGGAGCGCAGCACAAGUCGCACUCUCUUUCAGCAAAGGUCUAGCAUCCAUUAAGCCUUUUUUUCAACUUUUGACCUCGGAUCAGGUAGGGAUACCCGCUGAACUUAAGCAUAUCAAUAAGCGGAGGA